rnacentral:rRNA from 1 species
AGUGAACGCUGGCGGUAGGCCUAACACAUGCAAGUCGAACGGCAGCACAGUAAGCGCUUGCUCUUACGGGUGGCGAGUGGCGGACGGGUGAGGAAUACAUCGGAAUCUACUUUUUCGUGGGGGAUAACGUAGGGACACUUACGCUACUACCGCAUACGACCUACGGCUGAAAGCAGGGGAUCUUCGGACCUUGCGCGUUUGAAUGAGCCGAUGUCGGAUUAGCUAGUUGGCGAGGUAAAGGCCCACCAAGGCGACGAUCCGUAGCUGGUCUGAGAGGAUGAUCAGCCACACUGGAACUGAGACACGGUCCAGACUCCUACGGGAGGCAGCAGUGGGGAAUAUUGGACAAUGGGCGCAAGCCUGAUCCAGCCAUACCGCGUGGGUGAAGAAGGCCUUCGGGUUGUAAAGCCCUUUUGUUGGGAAAGAAAAGCAGCAUGUUAAUACCCCGCUGUUCUGACGGUACCCAAAGAAUAAGCACCGGCUAACUUCGUG